rnacentral:rRNA from 1 species
CCUACGGGUGGCAGCAGUGAGGAAUAUUGGUCAAUGGACGAGAGUCUGAACCAGCCAAGUAGCGUGAAGGAUGACUGCCCUAUGGGUUGUAAACUUCUUUUAUAUGGGAAUAAAACGUUCCACGUGUGGGAUUUUGUAUGUACCCUAUGAAUAAGGAUCGGCUAACUCCGUGCCAGCAGCCGCGGUAAUACGGCGGAUCCGAGCGUUAUCCGGAUUUAUUGGGUUUAAAGGGAGCGUAGGUGGAUUGUUAAGUCAGUUGUGAAAGUUUGCGGCUCAACCGUAAAAUUGCAGUUGAAACUGGCAGUCUUGAGUACAGUAGAGGUGGGCGGAAUUCGUGGUGUAGCGGUGAAAUGCUUAGAUAUCACGAAGAACUCCGAUUGCGAAGGCAGUUCACUGGACUGCAACUGACACUGAGGCUCGAAAGUGUGGGUAUCAAACAGGAUUAGAUACCCGUGUAGUC